CCCACACCUCUCUGUCUGUUGUCAUGGUAACACUGUUAGAGGAAGAACUGCACCUCUCUGUCUGUUGUCAUGGUAACACUAUUAGAGGAAGAACUACACCUCCUGUCUGUUGUCAUGGUAACACUGUUAGAGAAGAACUACACCGCCUGUCUGUUGUCAUGGUAACACUAUUAGAGGAAGAACUACACCUCCUGUCUGUUGUCAUGGUAACAACAGGUGUGUACUGACCUCAGGUGAGCACUGACCUCAGGUGAGCACUGACCUCAGGUCUGUUUCUCUCAGGUGAGCACUGACCUCAGGUCUGUUCCUCUCAGGUGAGCACUGACCUCAGGUGAGCACUGACUUCAGGUCUGUUCCUCUCAGGUGAGCACUGACCUCAGGUCUGUUCCUCUCAGGUGAGCACUGACUUCAGGUCUGUUCCUCUCAGGUGAGCACUGACCUCAGGUGAGCACUGACUUCAGGUGAGCACUGACUUCAGGUCUGUUCCCCUCAGGUGAGCACUGACCUCAGGUGAGCACUGACUUCAGGUGAGCACUGACUUCAGGUCUGUUCCUCUCAGGUGAGCACUGACCUCAGGUGAGCACUGACCUCAGGUGAGCACUGACCUCAGGUCUGUUCCUCUCAGGUGAGCACUGACCUCAGGUGAGCACUGACUUCAGGUCUGUUCCUCUCAGGUGAGCACUGACCUCAGGUCUGUUUCUCUCAGGUGAGCACUGACCUCAGGUGAGCACUGACUUCAGGUCUGUUCCUCUCAGGUGAGCACUGACCUCAGGUGAGCACUGACUUCAGGUCUGUUCCUCUCAGGUGAGCACUGACCUCAGGUGAGCACUGACCUCAGGUGAGCACUGACCUCAGGUCUGUUCCUCUCAGGUGAGCACUGACCUCAGGUGAGCACUGACUUCAGGUCUGUUCCUCUCAGGUGAGCACUGACCUCAGAACUAUGACCUUUUUAAAAAAUAAUAGCGAGCAUAUUUAUUGGAUUUCUAAAUUUCCUGAUCUGAUAAAAUGAUUCAUGAUUAAAUCUGGACGGUUAAGGGUCACUUGCGUCCAGGUGAGAACAGGUAGGCAGGCUCAGCCUGAUCGUCCUGAGGACCGAGGUCAGACGCUCUCUGAGACACAUGAGAUGUGUUUAAUAUAAAAUACGUUGAAGGUGAUGAUGAUGAUGUUUCUCCUCCU